GAGGAAACGCGGCGCAGAUCGUCGACGGCGGCUGCAGAGUCGUCGCGCGUGUUGUGCCUUGUGCGUGUUACGGGUCGCGACGGUGUCGGAACGGCCGAGACGGCAUCGGAUACCGGAGUAUAGUGAUGGGAGUACGGGAAGAACACGACGGCGGAGGAGUGAGGAGUGAGGACUACGGUCUACGAUCGCCACGCGGCGUGUCGGGGGCGGGAAGGACACAAUGGAACAAGGCUGCCAGCCAGUCGAGAACAGCUGAGCGGUGUUGGCCGACUUGUCGUGUGCGCCGUGCGGAGUGUUUGCAACCACGGCCAUAAUAUCUAUAAUUAUAGCCGUGUGCCUGCUGCACGUAUCUUCCGAGUUCCGAGUGCGGCGGACUCACUAUUACGAAUUCAUUAUUCUGGACUCUCAACUCUGGUAUCUAGUAUUCUAGUUCUGGUUCAUUAAUCUUUUAUCUAUGGUGGAUCUGCCUGACCGCGUGCAUGCCGUCCACGGACGUGUUCCAUCGUCUAUUUUGUCAAAUAUUAUUAUUAUGGUGUACCGACGGGAAAGUAUUUUAUAAUAUUCUUUUUAUGUACAGGGCGGAUUCCCCAAGCCUGCUCACCCCCGUUUUUCAUUCAAUAAUGAAAUUAUACAAGUUUUGAUUUCAAUCACGAAUUAACUAUAUUGUUAGGUGAUUUUAUUGUUUAAAUCUAUACUUAAGCACCAUAUUUUUAAUACUUAAAUUUUUUAUAAUAUUUAAAUAGAAUUGUCUAUGGCGAUAUUUUUCUUGUAAGAAUUGCCCUUUUUUAUUUAAAAAAUAAAAUUAUUAAUCAGAUUACCUAUUUUUUAAAUUAGUAUGUAUCUAAAAGGUAAUGAGCAGAGGCGUAUUUACGAUUUCGGCGCCCUAGGUACAUACAUUUAGGCUCCCCUUUUUUCUCAACUUCCUUUUUAUAACUUUUAAUAACUUCACUUUGAAAACAAUUUAACCUCUAGUGACGGCGCCCCUCUGAGGAACUUCAAAUUUUGCGCUCGGGCAAUUUCCCCCCGUACUCCCCCCCCCUAAAUACGCCACUGGUAAUGAGGUAAAUACAUUUCAAAAACUUGGAAACUACUCGUUUGAUUUUUUAUUUAAAUGAAUCUACAUUUUUAAAAAAAUUAUCUGCUUAACAAUUUACAGUGCAAAAAGGUUUGUUCUAAUUUGAAACAAAGAAGUUUGUAUCCCCACAGAAUUUUUUAAAUGGUACAAAUAUCCAAAUAAUUUAAAAUAUAAUCCUUAAGUGUUAAUAAAAAGCCAAGUAGGUAUAAUUAAAAAUUAAAAAUAAGAAUUUGAAUAAAAUAUGUAUUAUUAAAGGAAAUAUGGGGGUAACGUUACUCACUAGGUGAGUAUGUUUAGUGAAUCACUUUAUAUAUUGUAAUAACAUUAUACUAUGAUUGAUGAUAAUAUUAUUAAUUAUAAUAUAAUAUUAUGAUUUAUGGUUGAUAAACGUUUGACGCAAUCUCCUAGCUGGGGAAUGACGUCAUAGGAGUGCUGAAAUAAUGUAUGAUCCUGCUAAGACCCAUAAAGUAGCCAGUAGGGGACCCUCUCCAUUAUAUAUAAUAUACUUCAUAGUUGAUGUUUAUUUAAUUAAAGAAAAACACAUUAUAUUGAGUUAAUAAAAUAGAUAGAUAAUUUUAUUUCACAUCAAUAAGAAAUGUAAAUAUAGUAACUAUUUAAUAUAUUACUAUAAUAAUUUAUACAAAGUUUUCAAUUUGAUAAAGGAAAUAAUUCGCUGUAUUAUCUUAUAUAUUAUAUUGUGUUCGGAGUAAGUAAAUAUACAUAGUACAUACCUAUUAAAAUAAAUGUUAAAAUAAAAUGCCAAAAUUCAAACCAAAAAUGCGAUUAGUUAGGUAAAUUACUCAGAGUAACUGGGAAUACUUAUUUAAAAUUUGAAGGGGGUGCAAAGAUUUAUCAAGCCGGUAUGUACCCAGCGUUUAUGAACCUGGGAGGGCCUAAAAUAAAUGGGGUUUGUCACAUUUUAUAGAUUAAUAUAAAAUAUUAAUAAUACAAUAAUUUUGUAUUUCAUAAGACUUGUUUGAUAUUUUUUGUUAAUAUAUAUUAUAUAACUGUAUAUAACUAUAUGUCUAUAUGUCAUAGAUGUUUAAUAAAACAUUUAUUAAACACAUGUCAUGUUAGCAAAAUUAUAAAUUAUAUUUAAAAUUAAGCGGCAAAUUAUAUAGUUAGCAAGGAGUAAAGUAUAGGUAACCAAACCAACGUAAACCGAAUCUCCUGAUCACGAUAUUUUAAAUCGUGCUUCUGAUCGAGUGUCGCUUCUAUUUUUUUUAUAUAUUGUUCUAUGAUCAAGCACAAGGCUUAAUUUAUAUUUAAAUAUAUUUAAGCCAUGAUCAAACACAAUAAAGGCGCAUUGACAGCUACGUCGUGUGCAUAGAUAUAUACAUAGACGAUAGACCUAUAAACUAAUGGACAGCGCAUUCCACUCCGCCCUGUCAUCAAUGUACCGGAAUCAUAUAAGAUUGUGCUAAUGAUUGUGCACUGUUUAAAGAAGAAAGAACGAGGAGAGAAAAGAGAGAAAGAACAUAAAGGGGGUAAUCAUUGACGUAUGAAACUAAUACUAUAUUUCCCCUACGUUCUCUUUUCUCUUUUACUCUAUAUCGUACUCCUGACCUCUCUCUCUAAGCGCUGUCCAUUUUGUUUAUAGGUCUACGGAUAUAUACAACAACUAGAUAGCUGUCUCCUUCUUGUCAUCGAAGUCGGCCGCCAUUUACAAAGCAGAAUAAUAUUAUCACAGUAUGUAUAGGGGAUAGGGGUACUUGUGUGUCGUGUCGUGCGAUUAUCAGAAUUUAAUUUAUUAAAAUCAAUGGUAUUAACCAUAGACCAACAAACUAGUAUCUGGUAUUAUUAAAGAACCAUGGACUAGAUAGUAGUUGUAGAACCACCACAGAUAAUAUAUUGGGGAAGCAGAUUGAUUACAGACUCUAGUGGAAACAGUUUGUACCUUCCGAUUCGGGAUGUUUAGAUAUAGUUAUAUACUGGUUAUUUCACUUUUUAUAAUAAAUGAAUUUUGGUAUCGAAACUUUAUACGCUUUUAUAGCUAACUGUAUACGUUGGUAAGUAUAAUUUCCACUAAUAUUAUCAAAUACAUUCAAAUACACUUCACUUCAAGCAAAAUAUAUGCGAAAUGUCGGGAAUUGUCAGAUUUAUAAUUUAUAUUGGUUACAUUUUAUAAAACCCUAUGAACGAGUCAAUUACAAUCAAGUAAAAAUAUAAGUAAAGUGCAUCCAUUGACCGAAAGAGGAGUGUGUCGAGAUUACUAUGGUUCAGUUAAUUGUGCCUCAUUGUCCAAUAUACGAUGUGCAGAGCAGUGGGUUCAAAGACCACCAUGUUCAUUAUUUUUCACUUGAUUCUUGAUGCAUUUAUUUUGACUGUCCACUGCCGCCAAAUUUGAGCGCCCAAAAAAGGGCAAGCCGGAUCAGGCAAAUAACGAUGGAGAUAGGAUACAAUUUGCUGUCUUUAAGUAGAGCAAUACUGAAUAGAUUCAAACAUACUUAUUACUCAUUACUAGCCAUCUUUGACCCAGGCCAUGUUGGACUUUUUAGUGACGAGAAGCACCUCAAAUUAUGGUUAGUGGAUGGGAAGGUAAGUUGACACAGUCAUUCUUCUUCUCAACCAUUCAACAUGAAAUGCAUUUACCCAAAAAUGAUGAGUAGAUUGAUAAGAUUGUGUGGGCUCUGUUGAUUUGAUUGCACGUUAGUGUCCUAUGCAUAUGUUGCUGAACCGAGAGUUCGAAAACCUUUGCAUUAUUUUUUAAUUAAUACUCUGCAUUUUCUUUGAUCUACUCCCUUCAAAUUUGAGCACCUAAACGAUGUUCCAACAUGAGACAAAACUGUGUCAAUCUUUCGAUGUUUGGGAAUUCAAAGUAUAUCAAUAAAUCAAUAUGGUUUUAUAUCAAGACUGGCAAACUUCUUAACAAAUACUAUUUUCAUUGAUACUUCAAGACUUUUGAUGAAGAAUAUCAGUUACCUGUUUGUGUAUGUUGCAACUGCAAUAUAAAGCAGCUAGUAAAAUUAUACAAUUUUGUAAUCCAAAAGAUAAAUAAAAUAUAACAGAACUAUAGUCUAUACUCUGUUUGCCGAGAGAACAUGCCGCGGCCCGACGAAAAUCGGUUCAUUCUGCACAUCUCCUUGCGUCACCCACUCAUAGCGGCUGGCGGCAGGACGUGACUGCCGACUGGCGUCGCCAGCAUCAGUGUUGGUCGCCUAUUGUCGUCCCGAAACUUGGAGGGGGAAAUACUAAAUAGAGCCUCGGCAAGCGAUAAAAUGUUUUAUUAACAGUUAAAAAUUGUUGAAUGUUUUAUGUUAAUAUAUUCUGUAUGUUUGAUAUUUGAUAUUUGAUAUGGAAUAUUGUUUUUUUAAAUCAUAAUAAUCUUUCUUAAAAACUAUUUUACAAAAAUGUUUUUUUAUAUUUUUAGUGAAAGAAUAUUUAAACAGAAUUGGAACAAUAGAAGGUUCAAAAUAUACUUCGACAAGAAAGUUCAACAGUUACUAAAACAAUAUAUAAUGAGUUGUUCAAUAAAAUCAGAGAUAUAUCAACAAAUCUAAAAUUCUUGAAGUGAUAGAGUUCAAAAUAUUAUUCUUAUUAUUUGGUGGGUCACAAACAUGCUCAUGGGCAAUACUAGAAGAAAGUUGGGGGCAUGAAAAAUGAUCAUUGGCCCCCGCGGCUCGUUAUUUAUACCCACAGUAGUAAUCCUUGAUUCACAACAUUUAUUGUCACGCUGCUGUUAUGUUAAUUUAUAUCAUAUUGUAUUAUAAUAUAAAUCAAUUUUAAAAAUAUAAGUAACCUCACAAUACAAAAAAAAAUUAAUACCCAUAUUAUAAAUAAUUUGGUAUAUUAAAAAAAUGUAUGAAUAUAUAAUUUCGAUACUACUAUCAAAAUAAUGCCGCUUAGUGCAUGACCGGCAGCGCUCAUUUUUGUGCCUGCUACUAUAAACAUCAUUAUAGGUCAAGCCAAAAUAUAUCUAAAUAAUUUGUCCUCCAACCAAGAAAUAAUCCUUUUUUUCUUUAUCAGUUGUGUGGCAAAUGAAUUUCAAGAAUACCAAUCCUGAAUAUAGUACUCAAUAUGUAUUACUCACUCAUUUAAGUAAAAAAUUGUAUCUAUUUACUUUGUAGGUAUUAAGUUUUAAUUGAAAUAAUAUAAUAUAUAUAUUAUAUA